rnacentral:rRNA from 1 species
CAGGCCUAACACAUGCAAGUCGGACGGUAGCACAGAGAACUUGGUCCUUUGUGAGAAGAGUGGCGGAUGAGUGAUUAGUGUGAGUGGAUCUGAUAGAGAGGGGGAUAUAAUCAGUGGGGACGGUGGUUAAUAGUAUAUACUAUCGCAAAAACAAAGGGGGGGACCUGCGUUUCUCUCACUAAUGAGUGAACGCAUAUGGUAUUAGUUAGUGAGGGGUGUAGUCGCCCAUGUAAGAAACCAUCUCUGUUUUGUGAGAAAGGAUGAUCACACAGUGUGUAAGAGACACACCGUACACACUCAUAAGGGAGGCAUGAGUGGUAUAUAUUGCAGGAUGGGCGCAUGAUUUAUGCAUGCAUCGUGUGUGUAUAAAGAAUGCCUAUGGUUUAUAAAUUACUUUCGGAA